GUAUACUAUUCCUUCCGUGUUGUGCAAUGUGUAUUAAAUGUGAUCGUGGCAUCAUGCAUUAGCUGUAACAGUAGAUUGCCAUUAUAUCCCGAUCAAGUCUCCAGCGAGGAGUGGCAACCAAGUCAGAGGCUGGGUUAAUAGCGUGCAGGACGACGAUGCACGAAUGCAUUCUGCAGUUCUUGCAUUACGUCGAUACUCUGUGGAGGCUAUCAGUCCCACACCUUGCCAGACAGAAUGAAGGUCCAGGUGGUGGUGGUGGCGUUGAUGCUGAUGUUGGCGGCUUUCGUGCAGGUGGAGGCCUGCGUGUCGGGUACCUUCUGGAAUGAUGGAUGCAACUACUGCACCUGUAUCAGAGGACAAACUGUGUGCUCCAAGAAAUAUUGUAGGGAUGUUAGUCGCAACCGUGGCAAGCGAGCUGAGCCUCACCGCUACCAUCUUGAAUAGAGAGCUGAGUUCAGGAUGAAGCUGGCCCUUCCCUCUCUCCACCAUCUGACGGGCCGGCACAGUGGAAUAAAUAUGAGUGGAGACAUCUUGGUUUUAUUUACAUUAUUGGAGAGAGAGAGAGAGAGAGAGAGAGAGAGAGAGAGAGAGAUAGAGAGAGAUGUAAC